AACGUAGGAGACAAACGUUAUCCGGAGUUACUGGGCGUAAAGGGCGUGUAGGUGGUUUUGUAAGUCUGGCGUGAAAUUUUUCGGCUUAACCGGGAAAGGUCGUCGGAUACUGCAGGACUGGAGGACGGUAGAGGCGUGUGGAAUUCCGGGUGUAGUGGUGAAAUGCGUAGAGAUCCGGAGGAACACCAGUGGCGAAGGCGACACGCUGGGCCGUACCUGACACUGAUGCGCGACAGCAUGGGGAGCAAACAGG
rnacentral:rRNA from 1 species